CAUCUUUGCACCACUGACGCAGAUGUACAAGGCAAAGUAUCCAGCAUAUACCAGCAACUGAUCACAGAAGACCAUACAAGGAGGAAUGCCUUUCAAAGACAAUGGGAAGACCUAACUGGAAGAACCUACUCGGAAGCCCAAUGGGGACAAAUACUCAUCCUCCAACACAAAAGCUCAAUUAGCACCAGGUAUCAAGAAGUAAACUACAAACUGAUAUCCCACUGGUACAGGACGCCUGCACUACUGCAUAGAAUAUUCCCGGGAGUCCCAGAGACAUGCUGGAGAUGCGAAAACCAAAC